UAAGUAAAAAUCACAUAGAUCAUGAACAAGAUAGUCAAAACAUAGAAGGUACCUUGAAUAACCAAAGAGAUGUAGGUUCAAAUCAAUUAAAUGUUGAUGUGCAAGUGGUGGGAGAAGAAAAAAAAAUCUGCUCGAGGAUCAUGGCUUGCAGCGGUGGCAGAAGAAAUAACUUGUUAAUCUUAUUAUUGUUUGUCUAACAAGUUGAUAUGUUAUCGAUGAAUAAUUCCCUUGUAGCCUUAUCAACAAAUUUCAAUACUGAUCCUGCACCUUCUCAAGGUUCUGCAAUUGUAUACAUAUUUACAUGUGCA